GAUGAACGCUGGCGGCGUGCCUAAUACAUGCAAGUCGAGCGAACAGACGAGGAGCUUGCUCCUCUGACGUUAGCGGCGGACGGGUGAGUAACACGUGGAUAACCUACCUAUAAGACUGGGAUAACUUCGGGAAACCGGAGCUAAUACCGGAUAAUAUAUUGAACCGCAUGGUUCAAUAGUUAAAGACGGUUUUGCUGUCACUUAUAGAUGGAUCCGCGCCGCAUUAGCUAGUUGGUAAGGUAACGGCUUACCAAGGCGACGAUGCGUAGCCGACCUGAGAGGGUAAUCGGCCACACUGGAACUGAGACACGGUCCAGACUCCUACGGGAGGCAGCAGUAGGGAAUCUUCCGCAAUGGGCGAAAGCCUGACGGAGCAACGCCGCGUGAGUGAUGAAGGUCUUCGGAUCGUAAAACUCUGUUAUUAGGGAAGAACAAAUGUGUAAGUAACUAUGCACGUAUUGACGGUACCUAAUCAGAAAGCCACGGCUAACUACGUG
rnacentral:rRNA from 1 species